GACGGGGACCCGCACAAGCGGUGGAUGAUGUGGUUUAAUUCGAUGCAACGCGACAAACCUUACCCACCUUUGACAUGUACGGAAUCCUUUAGAGAUAGAGGAGUGCUCGAAAGAGAGCCGUAACACAGGUGCUGCAUGGCUGUCGUCAGCUCGUGUCGUGAGAUGUUGGGUUAAGUCCCGCAACGAGCGCAACCCUUGCCAUUAGUUGCUACGAAAGGGCACUCUAAUGGGACUGCCGGUGACAAACCGGAGGAAGGUGGGGAUGACGUCAAGUCCUCAUGGCCCUUAUAGGUGGGGCUACACACGUCAUACAAUGGCUGGUACAAAGGGUUGCCAACCCGCGAGGGGGAGCUAAUCCCAUAAAGCCAGUCGUAGUCCGGAUCGCAGUCUGCAACUCGACUGCGUGAAGUCGGAAUCGCUAGUAAUCGUG
rnacentral:rRNA from 1 species